UACAGAGGGGGCAAGCGUUGUUCGGAAUUACUGGGCGUAAAGGGCGCGUAGGCGGCCUUCUAAGUCGAACGUGAAAUCCCCGGGCUCAACCCGGGAACUGCGUCCGAUACUGGAAGGCUUGAAUCCGGGAGAGGGAUGCGGAAUUCCAGGUGUAGCGGUGAAAUGCGUAGAUAUCUGGAGGAACACCGGUGGCGAAGGCGGCAUCCUGGACCGGUAUUGACGCUGAGGCGCGAAAGCCAGGGGAGCAAAGCGGGAU
rnacentral:rRNA from 1 species